UCUGGUAGCCUAUCUUGCGAUUUUUGCUAUGGGAAAAAAAACAUGGGUAGAGAAUUAUUGCACUCUCCCGGGGACGAAGAAGUCUGAAAUGCAGACAUUUUGCUCAAGACACUUUUGUCCUCUGCCUUCGAGUGGUAGGCUGUGAUCUUCGGUAGGCCUUCGUUAAGACAGCAACUUAGAUUUGUGCUACCCCAGACCUAACUUGCAAUGUAACUUGUCAUAGGUAGUUAGGUUAAAUUAACACCCUGAUCUCCUUAUAGGCAAAGAUGGCAGUUUUGGUUCCUUUUUGUAGGCGAACCUCAGAGGUCUGUUGGGAAGCAUACAGGAAAGGGCAGAAUGUGUGUAGUAGGCUAUACACAGCUGCCAUACUGGCUUUACAAACUAAGCCCAUGCAUUUCUAAGCAUGCUUUGUCUCCCCAAUAGAAAAUGGGCUACAAUGCAAAAAUCAAGUCAAAAGCUGGGCCACAUAUCCAGUCAAGAAAAUCUGGUUGUGUACAGAUUCAUACACCAAAGCUAUGGAAAAAUGUCAGCAGCUGAUGGACACUUCUAGCAUUGAGGCGGAAGAAGAUGCGAGCGUCCACAAAAGGCAGUGCAGGGUCAAGUGAUGAUGAAUCCGUUCCGCAAGCAAGAAAACAUUCCAGGACGGUGCGUGUGCCUGAAAGCCCUGUCUGUAAGUUAACAUUUAUACAUAUUUGUCCUACCAUGGAACUACUGAAAUUCAUGUUUAUUAACCUGGUGCAUAUCAUGUGACUGUUCUGAUGUAUUUAUCUCUUCCUGCCUUUUUUUAGGUCAGCAGACGUCACUGCCUCCACCACCUGCAUGUGAGUUUUUCUUUUUAGCGAUUGUUUAAUGUAACAGCAUAGGUUUAUCUUUCGCAAAUGUCAUGUGCAAGAAACCUACCAUAAAUUAACUGACCAAUUUUCAUAUUUACUUUCUUUUUAGAUGAGUCAACACCACACAGGCAACCAGCUCAUUGCCCAGAGCUGGAUGGGUCUAUUAUAAUGCCUGCCACUUCAUCUUGGGACCCAGUUGAAGCACAAGUGACUCAUCACACAGAGGGAGGUGGCUUGGCCAUGGAGACGGAAAUAAGAGCAAUAAGGACAACCAUUACCGCAUGGCACAACGAAUGGAUGUAUUUGAGGAGAAGAUGGAUGAGCUGCUCAUGCUCUUAAGGAGCUCCCAG